CCCAAGGCCCAGAACCACCGAAGCCUAGUACCGGGGGGAGUCCACCGAGGACUCAGUCAACCUCUGUUGACUUAAGGCUUGGCUAGGACCGUCAGAUCUGUAGAUUUGGCUUGGUCCAAUGAUUAAGAGGUGGAAAUAUGUGUUGGAACACGAUGGCACCAAUGGGAUGCACCGAGUGGGAUCAUGGGAGGAGUUAACAGAGACUAUGACAAGUGUCACCACUGCUUCGGGCCACACAAUUCAUUAAUGCAGGCACAGGAAACAACCAUUAAAGGGCAUCAUUAACAUGAAAUGAAACAUAACCCAAGCCAUUUUCUCUCUCUUCGAAUAAAAGCAUGGGAAAUGCUCUACAACUUCUUCUCUCUUUGUUGAUUCAACCUUGCCGAAGAAACGACGCUGCUCGAUUGCCGCCACCGCCUCCUCUGGCGACCAACUAAACACAAACUCCAACUACUUCGGCCAAGGAUUUCGAAUCCGGCCUUAAACAACUUGAAAACUCAACCAAACAACCUAUAUCAAAGAUUGAAUCCAAAAAAAACCUAAAUCUCAUAAAACCAAAAUUGAAUAAUUAAACCCAUGCGAAUUAAGAAAUUACAUAAGGGAUACAAAUCAGUGGAGGAAGUUCUACACAAUGGUUACCAUAAUAUGUUGAGAAGGGUCCAAAAAUUACCUAAUCGAAGCUAGUCCGAUGUAACUCUGGCGAUGGAAUGAUGUAACAACUUCAACAGGAGGGGUGGUAAGCACGUACGAAGGUCCAUGAAGAAUGAACGAAAUCCUAGCCUUUCAAGUAUGUGCCAUGUCAUCAUGCGCCAACCAUGUUUUUCUCUUUGAGAUAGCAUGUACACCAGGUGUAUGCAAUGCUCCCUCUUAAAUCCUAUUACUGGAGAUUUCAGUUAGAUUUUCUUGGGUUUAUGUAUGUAACAUGAUGAUAUGCUUGGCUUAGAGUUACGUGUUCAAUGUAUUUGGCAAAACACAAUGUAAUGAAUGAUUCAUAGAAUACGAUGCAUAAGGUCUUCAAAAAUGGUUUGGUUUAAAUUUUGUAAUUGGAAUUUGUAAAUGAAUGGAGUUUCUUAUGUGAUUUCAAUAGUA